CCUACGGGUGGCAGCAGUGGGGAAUAUUGGACAAUGGGGGGAACCCUGAUCCAGCCAUGCCGCGUGUGUGAAGAAGGCCCGCGGGUUGUAAAGCACUUUCAGUGAGGAAGAACGCCUGGUGGUUAAUACCCAUCAGGAAAGACAUCACUCACAGAAGAAGCACCGGCUAACUCCGUGCCAGCAGCCGCGGUAAUACGGAGGGUGCGAGCGUUAAUCGGAAUUACUGGGCGUAAAGCGCGCGUAGGUGGCUUGAUAAGCCGGUUGUGAAAGCCCCGGGCUCAACCUGGGAACGGCAUCCGGAACUGUCAAGCUAGAGUGCAGGAGAGGAAGGUAGAAUUCCCGGUGUAGCGGUGAAAUGCGUAGAGAUCGGGAGGAAUACCAGUGGCGAAGGCGGCCUUCUGGACUGACACUGACACUGAGGUGCGAAAGCGUGGGUAGCAAACAGGAUUAGAUACCCGGGUAGUC
rnacentral:rRNA from 1 species